AUGAUAGCAACAGCAGAGAUUAAACUAAUCAUGCGAACUAGCACAGUAGAUGAACAGAUCACAUCUAGGGCACAUACUAAAAACAUGAAUUCUACCACGAUCUCGAACAGGAAGGAUAGAAUCACAUACGAUGCAACGGGAGAAGGGACAGCAAGCCUCCGGAACCCCACCUCUCGUGAUCCUGUACGGGAGAGGGGCGAUCAGGUUUUUGGGGAGCGCACUCGCGCGACUGCUGGCAGCGACGACUUCGUGAACGAUGACUUCUUCCCCGACCUCGGCAACCUCAUCCUCGACGACAUGGGCGACAACGUCAACGCCAGUGAUGCUGCUCCCGCUGCACCGUAUGUGAUUCUAUCCUUCCUGUUCGAGAUCGUGGUAGAAUUCAUGUUUCUAGUAUGUGCCCUAGAUGUGAUUUGUUCAUCUACUGUGCUAGUUUGCAUGUUUAGUUUAAUCUCUGAUAUUGCUGUCAUGAAUUAUCUUUUGUUCAUUCCGAUUAAAUCUCGUAGCAAUUUGCUCAUAUUUCCAACAAUCCAAAAACCUGAUUAUAGGCAAUUUGGUUCGAGUGGUUUUGCUGCGCAUCUGAAACCGUCUGCCUUUAAGGGGGCGCAAUAUAAGAGGUGGCGCACGAGAGCAGUCUGCUGGUUUCAGACCAUGGGCUGCUAUGACGCCACCAAGGGCAAGCCUGGGGGCGAUCUUAAUCCAGCACAGCUGGAAACUUUUGAGAAGAUCGAUACUCUCUUUAAAGGCACCCUUCUGGGUGUUCUUGACGACUCCAUUGUGGAUUCGUAUAUGUCGUUUGACAACGGCAAGGACAUGUGGGCUGUGCUCGAGGCCAAGUUUGGUGCCUCGGACGCCGGCAGCGAGUUGUACGUCAUGGAGCAAUUCUAUGAGUACAAGAUGACUGAUGAGCGCUCUGUUGUACAGCACGCUCAUGAGAUACAGUCGCUCGCAAAAGAACUUGAGUACUUUAAGUGUGUGUUGCCGGACAAAUUUGUUGCCGGAGGCAUCAUUGCCAAGCUUUCACCUUCGUGGAACAAUUUUGCUACUUUUCUGAAACACAAGAGACAAGAGUUUUCCGUUGCGGGUCUCAUUGGUAAUCUUGAUGUUGAAGAGAAGGCAAGAGCAAAGGACACACGUGCUCGAGUUGCUGAGGGAGCUUCUAGUGCCCACAUGGUACAGAAGAAGAACUUCCAGCCCAACAAGUUCAAAAACAACAAGAACAAAACUCAGGGCAAAGGCAAGUUGAUACAAAGAACAAGCCAUCGCAUUCUACCAACUUCAAGCAGAAUUCUCACAAGAAGGGUCGGGGAAGGGACUUUGUCAUGUCUGCGGUGA
rnacentral:rRNA from 1 species